AUUGCAUCUUUGGUCCUUUUGGUCAAUUUUGACUUAUUCAACGCCUACGUGGCAGGCCACGUGUGUAAUUAAUUAAUUAAAUAAUUUAAAAAACCAAAAAAUCUAUUUUUAAAUUAAAUAAUUUAAAAAAAGAAUUAAAAAAUUAGAAGAAAAAAAAAAUCAAUUAUUUUCGCUUCCAAUGGCUUCUUCCCUUCCAAUCUAUGUGUUUGGUUGGUUCAAUCUCCCUUCUUUCUCUCUACUAACCCCAGCCACCAGCACCACCUUCCAUUCCAAUGGUUUCUUCUUCUUCUUCCUCUUGAACCCAUCACCUUCCCAACAAAACCCCCAAGUACUCCAUAGUAGCUACAAGUCUACAACCCCAUAUGGAUCUGAGAGGAGCUUCUUCCAUAUUAAAUAUAUAGGCGUGUUCUUGUGCGUAGCUAAGGCGUGUUUGAGGCUUGAGGUAUGAGGCUUUGUGGUUCUGUGGCCGCAGAGUUGAUAUGGUUGGGGGGAGUUUUUUGGCCUAACAUUAUGCCUGUUGUUGCUGGUUCUGUUUUGCUCUCUAGGCUUUCUAGCUUUUUUUUUUCUUUCUGUUUUUGUGCUGCAUUUUCCUCCUGCUGUUGGUACAUGUAUUUGUUUAAAUUCAAUUUGCUCCUGUUUUUGUGCUCCAGAUCAACCUG
rnacentral:lncRNA from 1 species